ACUUUUAAUGGCCGAGGAAGUCGUGUAUUUGCUUCACCCAACUUGUUUACUCGUAAAUGCAAUAAGGAUAUUCGUUCUAUAUCCACCAACAAAGUCCUCACCUCGCUACGAAUGUAGAAGCUGAUGCCAUACAGUUUGUUCUCCUCCUGUUUUUCCUAUACAUUUGUGUACUAUCUUCUUUGUUUGGAAAUUUCUUGGGUUAAUUGAGUUCAUUAAAUAAUAUUGCUAAGUUUGUUUAUGUUUGUUCAUGUGUUUCUUAGACAAGGUAUUUAUAAAUGAUUAUUUUACUUGUGUUUUUUAAGAUUCAGUCUUUCUCUCAUGAACAUCAGGCUAAGAAUCUUUCUUCCCACGAAGAGAUUCACUUGACGAAUUCCGUGAGAUCGGUGUCAACAAGACUUGAGCCUCUUACUGAUAAACUAACUAGUUUUGGAAACAUUCAUUUUGAUGUAGUCAAGAGUAAAGGAUUGAGCUCCAUAAAAAAGUCUAUCGAAGGAAAUCUGCUAUUCCUUCAUAUGUGGAACGAUGUGCUUGUGUUGUUGUGUGUAAUUGCGACCUUACUGGACCCUUUGUUCUGUUACAUCCUAAUAGUGGAUAAAGAGAAAAGCUGUAUCGAGUUUGACAAUAAGUUAAUGGUCAUGGUUGUAGUUUUACGUUCGCUUGUUGAUUUUGGUUCAUACUUCUCAUUGUUUUUCAUUUUCUUAUUGGUUAUACUGCUCCGAAUGAUGCAAAUAGUGGAAGACUUUGCACAUUAGCUAUAAGAUAUCUUUUAUCUUACUUUAUCAUUGACGUUCUUGCUGUUCUUCCUCUCCUACAAAUUUGGACUAUUAUUCUGCCUAAGUAUAGUAUUCGGAACAUUAAAGUAAUAUAUGUUAUCUAGUGACAUGUGAGAAAACAUGUGUGCAGGUGGUGGUUCUAAUAGUCACUCAAGGAACAAAAGUUUAUCCUUUAAUUGCUAUAAGGUCAUUGAAAUUUAUCCUUAUAUUUCAGUCUUUGCCAAGGGUGUCUCGAGUUUACUCAUUCUUAUAGAAAGUUAGAUGGAGUUCUGGAAUUUUGCCCGACUCUGCUGGGGUCAAGGCUGUAUUCAAUCUCUUCCUGUAUAUGCUUGCAAGUCAUGUCUUUGAAGCCUUUUGGUACUUGUUUUCUGUUGAGCGUAAAGCAUCUGCGUGCAAAUAAGGUGUCAUAGUCAUCCAUAUUGCUCUCGGAUGAAUAACAACUCUUUUGAGAGAUCAUGCAUAAAUGAUGUUUGCUUUGGAACAACAUCAUCAAAUGUUACAACAGCUUUAGAUUAUGGAAUAUUUGAUGAUGCCUUGAAUUUCGGCGUUGUCUCUUCGACUGAUUUAGUAUGGAAGUUCUCUUAUUGUUGUUGGUGGGGUCUGCAGAAUCUAAGUUCUUUGGGUCAAGGCCUCAAAACUAGCAAGCACUACAGGAAAAAAGGUCUACGAUAGCUGACGAAAAAUGUUAUCGUAAACAUUUUAUAGCGUUUAACAAAAAAGUUGUGUCAGCCCACGUUAUUAAAAGUUUGGAUUUUUAAAAGCGUUUUUCCAAAGCUAUAAAAAGUGUACAUUUUUAUAGCGUUUUAUGUAGAUUAUGAAAACAACUUUGUAAUAGCAAUUUUCUAUUUAUAUCAUUUAUGAUAGCAUUUUCUUAAA